CAGACUCCUACGGGAGGCAGCAGUAAGGAAUAUUGGUCAAUGGACGCAAGUCUGAACCAGCCAUGCCGCGUGGAGGAUGAAGGCCCUCUGGGUUGUAAACUUCUUUUAUCUGGGACGAAAAAGGGCCUUUCUAGGCCAACUGACGGUACCAGAGGAAUAAGCACCGGCUAACUCCGUGCCAGCAGCCGCGGUAAUACGGAGGGUGCAAGCGUUAUCCGGAUUCACUGGGUUUAAAGGGUGCGUAGGUGGGUCUGUAAGUCAGUGGUGAAAUCUCCGAGCUUAACUUGGAAACUGCCAUUGAUACUAUAGGUCUUGAAUAUUGUGGAGGUCAGCGGAAUAUGUCAUGUAGCGGUGAAAUGCUUAGAUAUGACAUAGAACACCAAUUGCGAAGGCAGCUGGCUACGCAUAUAUUGACACUGAGGCACGAAAGCGUGGGGAGCAAACAGGAUUAGAUACCCU
rnacentral:rRNA from 1 species